rnacentral:rRNA from 1 species
GGAAUAUUGGGCAAUGCCCGCAAGGGUGACCCAGCAACGCCGCGUGGAGGAUGAAUGUCGUAAGAUUGUAAACUCCUGUUAGAGGGGAAGAAUAGUACCGGUUGGACCGGUAUAUGACUGUACCCUCAGAGAAAGCCCCGGCUAACUACGUGCCAGCAGCCGCGGUAAUACGUAGGGGGCAAGCGUUGUCCGGAUUUACUGGGUGUAAAGGGCGCGCAGGCGGGAUAAAAAGUCAGUGGUGAAAUCCUACAGCUUAACUGUAGAACUGCCUUUGAUACUUUUAUUCUUGAGUGCGGGAGAGAGAGACGGAAUUCCAGGUGUAGUGGUGAAAUACGGAGAUAAAUGGAAGAACACCAGUUGCGAAGGCGGUCUCUUGGUCCGACACUGACGCUGAGGCGCGAAAGCGUGGGGAGCAAACA